UCCAGACUCCUACGGGAGGCAGCAGUGGGGAAUAUUGCACAAUGGGCGCAAGCCUGAUGCAGCGACGCCGCGUGAGCGAAGAAGUAUUUCGGUAUGUAAAGCUCUAUCAGCAGGGAAGAAAAUGACGGUACCUGACUAAGAGGCUCCGGCUAAAUACGUGCCAGCAGCCGCGGUAAUACGUAGGGGGCAAGCGUUAUCCGGAUUUACUGGGUGUAAAGGGAGCGUAGACGGCGCUGCAAGUCCGGAGUGAAAGCCCAUGGCUUAACCAUGGUACUGCUCUGGAAACUGUGGAGCUUGAGUGCGGGAGGGGCAGGCGGAAUUCCUAGUGUAGCGGUGAAAUGCGUAGAUAUUAGGAGGAACACCAGUGGCGAAGGCGGCUUACUGGACUGUAACUGACGUUGAGGCUCGAAAGCGUGGGGAGCAAACAGGAUUAGAUACCCUUGUAUA
rnacentral:rRNA from 1 species